GAAGCUUCAAUUUUGCAUUUAUUUUUACAUUUAGUUCGAAGGACUUUUUGACAUCUCUCAAUUGAGUAGCAACAACGAUCUUGCACUGGCCCCCCAUUCGUGGCGGUGCUCGGUCCUGAAAAAAAAAGAAUAAUAUGUGUGAAAUUAUAAUCAAUAAUUUGUUACUAUUGGUCAUCUCAAUAAAAAAAGUAUUGAACUA